CCAAUAUCUAUCUAGCAGAUAGACACCUGUCAGGAAAUGCAUUCUCACAUGAAUUGUGCUCUAAGAAAAGACAGUUUAUAGUUUAUUUUUGUACCCGUCAGUCUAGCACAUCUCCUCAUACAUUUCUCCCCAUUCCACAAAGCUCUCUGGGGGCCUUGGCUAGGACAGUCUCAGUUUGUCUCAGGGAUUCUUGCAAGAGAAGGCAGCGUCCUUCAAUAAGGGUAGGGAAAGAUGUGAUGCAGACAUUUGCUUUGGUUUGAAGGUUGAUGGAGAGGGAAAGUGUGUAGCCACAAUCAAAGGUAGGGGCAUUUCCUUGUCAUAAAUUGUGCACAGAUCCUACUAACAGCUGUAAUUACAACCCAAUAAUUUAUUCAGUCUGUUGCUCUGAAGCACCCUCUCGUAGGUUGGUCCCGAAAUACUCAUCCUCCUUUUCCAUCCUUCAGCAGGGUGGAGCAGGGUCUUUUUAUCAGCUGGGUGCACAUUAAGAGAAACCCACUUAGAAAGAACUUCCACAUUUCUCCAUUUGCCUCGCUGAAGCCAGGUUUUAGCAUGGCUGCUUCUGCUGUAGAAGGUUUAGAAGAAUUCACUAGAGGCACAGAUUCUCAAAUUUUGCACUCUCAGGCUCUUCUUCAGACGGCUAAAAAUAUCUGAGGCCCAACACCGGAGAUGGUAACAAGAUGGUGGUAAAUGGAAGUGGACAGUGGCAGGAUCAGAAGGAAAUCACUGGCGUGUUCACCCUUUGGAAGUUGCUAAAUUCAUUGCUGCACUUCUUCGUGGCACAGAGUUCCAAAGUAAAGUGGUACCUCAGUUUAAGAACAGCCCUGUUUAUGAACUAUUCAAUAUAAGAACUCCACAAAACCGAAAGUAGUGUUCCGGUUAGCAAACUUUAUCUCGGUCCAUGAACGGAAGCUGAAUGGUGGAAGGGCACUGGCAGCUGGAGGCCUCAUUAGGGAAAGCAUGCCUCGAUUUAAGAACUGCUUUGGUUUAAGAACGGACUUCCGGAAUGGAUUAAGUUCGUAAACCGAGGUACCACUAUACAUAUUUUGCCCCUUGAGAUAUCCCAACUCAGUCUCCCCAUUUUAGAAAGAAUUUUCUGAAACAGAGACUCUAUAAGUGGAGAGAGGUUUUCAUUUUAUAUCCUCAUGCUUUAUUUGCAAAUACGCUUACCCAGAUGUUUUCAUGGUACAGAGGGUGCAGAUCAGCACACAUUUGUUCCAGGCCUGAAUAAACUGCCAGUGCCAAUCAGGCCACAGGAAGUUUUCUUGAACAGGCCAACCCUUACCUUACAUUCUGUACACAAGUGCAGAUGUGCAAGCACAAAGCAAUCAGGUGUGAUGCGUGCCCACACAUAAAUGUGGCCCGUGGUCCUUUAAAAUACCCAGAAGCAGCAACCAGGGAAGAUUCCUGCUUCCAUGGAUUUUAAAAGGGAUACCACAUUUUACACGCAUCACCCAUCAGAACUGACGAGAGUAUGUAUUUUGUAAUGGUAUCAAGUGUGCUUGGACACAAAGGUCAUGGCAAAGACAAACCUUAAAGCUGGAUUAGCCAUUAUCUUAAGUUGCCAUAAUGGCAGGUUUGUGAUCAAGCUGUAGCAACACUAGGGUUGUGCAUGCUGCUUUGAGGAAUGACUGAAUCCAGCUGUUUUGAGUUCAGAUAUAAUGCCCCAAAGUAGCUUGCAGGGCCAUUGGCUGCUGGAUUUGUUCUGCGAGCUGACAUGAGUGCUCAAUAGGAGCAGACAUCUUUUGUUCUGCUUCCCUGGUCCCUUUAUUGGAAUAUUAACCUCAUUCAGAAAAGCAUGCAGUUCAUGCCCACAGGGGGUGUCUGCCAUUAUGAUGACUGUGGAAUUACUAGGAGCAAUGCAUAAGCCAAAGGUUUAGCAGUGCCUGUUUCACAUCCCCUUUCUAGAUGUUCAGAAAGCAUACUGGAAGGGAAGCAGUAUUGCAACAGCACUGGAUCUUCUCCCUCUUCGGAUGUUCACUCAAGCAAGCUAUCCUUCAUUCAUUUGUUAGGCUAUACAUUUAUUCCUUUUACAAAGCAUAAUUCAAUUUUUGGUUGGACCUGUUAAUACAUCUUGUUAUAUCUGUUACAAAAAUAUUACUAUCAAACAAUCCAAGAUAACUAUUCAUGCAGAUUAUUAUGGGAAUACAUUUUUCCAUAAUCAGAGCUAGGGGACAAAAUUCUCCUUCAAAUAAUGAAUAAUUGUGAGAUGAGGCGGAAGCUCAUUAUAAGCCCCCAUUGCUGCUGUGAUUAAAAGGACCCUUCAAUGAGUUGAUAAGCAAAUCCCAUGUGACUGGCCCUUCAUCCCUUGCUAACCCGAAAUAUAGGCUACAAUUUGGGCUGUACAUUGACUUAGUCAUGAGUGAGCCCCAUGGAACCCUAGUGGACUUACUUCUUCGUAAAGAUGCCUAGAAUAAGGCAAAAUGCUUGCUAUUUUAAACACCUCUGAGGGCUAAGAGCCAACACAAUUCGUAUUCAGGAGAGCACAUAGGCAUGUUGUCAAAAACCGUCUCUAAACCUUCCUAUAGGUGACACUUCCUCAGAAUGACAAUUCUUAUCUCGAAGGACAAGUGAAGCAGUCAGGUUAAAUCAGUCAAUGACCAUCUGGGUAUUUGCCUUAAGAAAGCCAGGCGUAACUCUCUUCCGAGGAGUUUUGUUGUCACUUUAAGAUACUGUUGCUAUUGUUGCCCCAAAAGAUAUAGUCACAACUUUUGUAAGGCCGUAUAUGCAAUGGAACUUCUGGAGUUUUGAAAAUGCGGGCUUUUGUCAAGGUGUGAACUAGUGAUAUGCCAGAAUCUGUCCUCCGGUUUUUCAGACGUUUUCAUCCGCUGAAAGAAGCUUCAAUUUUAAUGCCGCAUUCUCCAGGCAAUUGAAAAUUCCUUUGGAAUUUCAGUGAAGUUAACCUUAACCUAGUGAGAUGGCUGGUGUGUUGUCAUUUUCUUUCCAUUAAUCAUUAUUCCAGCACUCUGUAGCCUCCCCUGCUGCCCACACUUCCUGUUUGAAAAAGCCCCAUGGGAGAAGGCACUGCAGGAUGUCUUCCUCUGACCUCUAAUUGAAACGCAGGAGCCAGAAGGCCUGGCUUGUUGUUGUUUUUUUAAAAAAAGUCUUUCCCUUAACCUUAAAAACAAACAAAUAAUCUUUCCACACUAAGGUCUUUAAAAGUAAAAAAAAACAAAAAAAACAAAUAAUGGUUGUCUGGUACCCAACAGUUAGUCUUUCCACUGUGCUGUUCUUAACUGGAAGGUGAAGCUGAGAGAACCAAGGGAUUUUCAGGAAGUGCAGGCACCCAGGAAGGCUGCAGAGUGUGGCCAGUAGAAAGACCUUGAGAUCCUUUUCGGUGAGCUUUUUCCAUGUGGGAUGAGUGACUACUAGCGGUACGCAAAUCUAUCAAUUUCAGCUUCUCUCAGUUUGUGAUUAUUAUUCAUUUCUGGUGCAAAAUUUGCCCAAUAUGCAAUUGUUUAUAUGUGAUAUUGCCUAAUAUAUGCAUCUUUACAGAGCAGCAUCCCUUACUAUAAUGCAUUUUUGUAUGUUGUUUUCAAGAAUAUGCAUUAUUCUGGACACUUUACAUGGCUGGGGAACUGUAUUGCAAAAUUUGGAGAGAAUUUUGAAGGAUAGCUGUGUUUUCGUUCUCAUAUUUUCCCUGUAAUUUAAAAUAUUAAUACUUUGAACUUGGCCUGGAAAAUGAAAAUAUCUGUGUGAGAGACAGAACAGAGUGGUUUUUCUCAGGGUGUGAAGCUGAGAAAGAUGGAAGCUGUCCCAAGUGAGGGAUGGGUGGAUGUGGAUCUCUGUGAAUUGAAGAUAGAAGGUUGAUAGAAUAUAUAUAUAUAAAAUUAUGUGGGUGUUUCUUUUUUCUUUCUUUUCUUUUUCUUUUUAUUAUUUUUCACUUUUUAGAUAUUAGCUUUGUUUGGUUUUUAUUGUAUAAUAUGGUAAAAACCAUUAAUAAAAUGGAUUUUAAAAAAGAACACAACUCCGCUUAGGUGGAAAGGAGUCAUAAAAGGUAAUGGUAAAGGACCCCUGACAGUUAAGUCCAGUCGCGAACAACUCUGGGGCUGUGGCGCUCAUUUUGCUUUACUAGCCAAGGGAGCCGACGUUUGUCUGCAGACAGUUUUCCCUGGUCAUGUGGCCAGCAUGACUAAACCUCUUCUGGCAAAACCAGAACAGCACACGGAAACACCAUUUACCUUCCUGCUGGAGCGGUACCUAUUUAUCUACUUGCACUUUGACGUGCUUUUGAACUGCUAGGUUGGCAGAAGCUGGGACAAAGCAACGGGAGCUCACCCCGUCAUGGGGAUUCGAACUGCUGAUCUUCCAAUCGGCAAGCCCAAGAGGUUCAGUGGUUUAGACCACAGUGGUGGUAAUGAAAUAAUAUAUUGCACAGCUCUCCUUUAGUAGAAUUAUUGCAAUGACACACAACUUUUUAAUUUUCAUGCCACCAUUAAUACAUUUGGGAACAUUAGUAACUAUAGCUUAAUAUUAGUUAAGUUAAAUUUUAUUAGUUAAGGCUGCAGUCCAAUACACACCUACUAAGCACUAAGACCCAUUGAACCAAGUAGGAUGUACUUCUGAGUAAGCAUACAUAGGAUUGUUCUGAAAUUCUUUGAAAUCAUUGGGCACAAUCCAGCCAAAGU